AUGGAGACCUCUACGGCUGGCCGAUCGGCCGCAUCAUUGGAGACCGACUAGGCUCAUUUCGUCGGGGCCAAGAGCCACGGUCGCAUCGAGCCAUAAGGUCGAUGCAUCGCACGGGAGGGAGCCGCGCACUGCAUCCAUCGUCAUCGACAGCAACGCCGGGAAGUGGCUUCACUAUGGACGAAGGUGGUGUUGCGCCGGUGCGGCGGGGCGGACGGGCGCGGGACACAGAUAAGAUUGCCCAAUUUCUUAUCCCAUGUGUGCGUCGUGGCAAUUGAUCGAAAGACUCGUCUUACCUGAACCGUGAGCGCCUCGUGAUGAUGAGGCCAUGCCGGAGGUCGAGGCUGCGCGACCAUGCAUCGGGUGCAGACCUGCGCCGACCGUCGGUUCCGCGUUGCUCGUGGGCGAGGCUGUCGUGUAAUCGCGUGCUGAUAACGUGUUCGAAGGGAAAGAGACAAGGAUGUAAAAGUGAA